AGAGAAAUCGAGUCCGAAUAGGGCGUUCAGUCGCUGGGUGUAGACCCGAAACCAAGUGAUCUAUCCAUGGCCAGGUUGAAGGUGCGGUAACACGCACUGGAGGACCGAACCCACUAAUGUUGAAAAAUUAGGGGAUGAGCUGUGGAUAGGGGUGAAAGGCUAAACAAACUUGGAAAUAGCUGGUUCUCUCCGAAAACUAUUUAGGUAGUGCCUCAAGUAUCACCAUCGGGGGUAGAGCACUGUUAUGGCUAGGGGGUCAUCGCGACUUACCAAACCAUUGCAAACUCCGAAUACCGAUGAGUGCGAGCUUGGGAGACAGACGCCGGGUGCUAACGUCCGACGUCAAGAGGGAAACAACCCAGACCGCCAGCUAAGGUCCCAAAGAUUGGCUAAGUGGAAAACGAAGUGGGAAGGCUAAAACAGUCAGGAGGUUGGCUUAGAAGCAGCCAUCCUUUAAAGAAAGCGUAAUAGCUCACUGAUCGAGUCGUCCUGCGCGGAAGAUGUAACGGGGCUAAGCCAGUCACCGAAGCUGCGGAUAUCCGUAAGGAUAUGGUAGGAGAGCGUUCUGUAAGCCUGUGAAGGUGUCUUGUAAAGGAUGCUGGAGGUAUCAGAAGUGCGAAUGCUGACAUGAGUAGCGAUAAUGCGGGUGAAAAGCCCGCACGCCGUAAGCCCAAGGUUUCCUGUUCAACGUUCAUCGGAGCAGGGUGAGUCGGCCCCUAAGGCGAGGCAGAGAUGCGUAGCUGAUGGGAAGCAGGUUAAUAUUCCUGCACCGUCGUUAGAUGCGAUGGGGGGACGGAUCGCGGAAGGUUGUCCGACUGUUGGAAUAGUCGGUUUUUGCAUCGAAGAAGGCUGUUAGGCAAAUCCGGCAGCGUAAUUCAAGGGUGUGAGACGAGCGAACUUGUUCGCGAAGCAAUCGGAAGUGGUUCCAAGAAAAGCCUCUAAGCUUCAGUCUAACGAGACCGUACCGCAAACCGACACAGGUGGGCGAGAUGAGUAUUCUAAGGCGCUUGAGAGAACUCGGGAGAAGGAACUCGGCAAAUUGGUACCGUAACUUCGGGAUAAGGUACGCCCAAGUAGUUUAACUGGCCUGCGCCAGAAGGACAAAAGGGUUGCAAUAAAAUGGUGGCUGCGACUGUUUAAUAAAAACACAGCACUCUGCAAACACGAAAGUGGACGUAUAGGGUGUGACGCCUGCCCGGUGCUGGAAGAUUAAAUGAUGGGGUGCAAGCUCUUGAUUGAAGUCCCAGUAAACGGCGGCCGUAACUAUAACGGUCCUAAGGUAGCGAAAUUCCUUGUCGGGUAAGUUCCGACCUGCACGAAUGGCGUAACGAUGGCCACACUGUCUCCUCCCGAGACUCAGCGAAGUUGAAAUGUUUGUGAUGAUGCAAUCUACCCGCGGCUAGACGGAAAGACCCCAUGAACCUUUACUGUAGCUUUGCAUUGGACUUUGAACCAAUCUGUGUAGGAUAGGUGGGAGGCUUUGAAGCGUGGACGCUAGUCUGCGUGGAGCCGACCUUGAAAUACCACCCUGGUUUGUUUGAGGUUCUAACCUUGGUCCGUUAUCCGGAUCGGGGACAGUGCAUGGUAGGCAGUUUGACUGGGGCGGUCUCCUCCCAAAGUGUAACGGAGGAGUUCGAAGGUACGCUAGGUACGGUCGGACAUCGUGCUAAUAGUGCAAUGGCAUAAGCGUGCUUAACUGCGAGACUGACAAGUCGAGCAGGUACGAAAGUAGGACAUAGUGAUCCGGUGGUUCUGUAUGGAAGGGCCAUCGCUCAACGGAUAAAAGGUACUCUGGGGAUAACAGGCUGAUUCCUCCCAAGAGUUCAUAUCGACGGGGGAGUUUGGCACCUCGAUGUCGGCUCAUCACAUCCUGGGGCUGUAGCCGGUCCCAAGGGUAUGGCUGUUCGCCAUUUAAAGUGGUACGUGAGCUGGGUUUAAAACGUCGUGAGACAGUUUGGUCCCUAUCUGCCGUGGGCGUUGGAAGUUUGAAGGGGGCUGCUCCUAGUACGAGAGGACCGGAGUGGACGAACCUCUGGUGUAUCGGUUGUCACGCCAGUGGCAUUGCCGAGUAGCUAAGUUCGGAAGAGAUAACCGCUGAAAGCAUCUAAGCGGGAAACUCGCCUUGAGAUGAGACUUCCCGGGAACUAGAUUCCCCUAAAGGGUCGUUCGAGACCAGGACGUUGAUAGGUCAGGUGUGGAAGCGCAGUAAUGCGUUAAGCUAACUGAUACUAAUUGCCCGUGCGGCUUGUUCCU
rnacentral:rRNA from 1 species